GUUAGCGGGAAGUUGCAGGGAUGGCCUUUAGCGUCAACCGUUUUCCUAAUUUUUUUAUACGAUUUCUUCUUUUAGAUUAGGAAACAAUGUCAUCGAUAUCUACAGCACGUCGUUAAUGGUUUAUAUGAUUUGCACAACCACCUGCAUUUGUGUUAUUGGCUACAAAAUACUGGUGUUAAUAAGAUUUCUCAGAACUGCAUGACCGGACCAGAUGCGGAUUUAGUCCAAUUUUUUAUAUAUAUAUUUGCGGUGUACCUCAUAAUGACGGUAUUUUGUUUCAUCAGCGAGCAGCUCAUGUCUGAGGUAAGAAAAAUUACUGUUAAAAUUUACCGUAUAGGUAAAAUAUAUAUUUUUGACAGUGUGAUAAAGUCAGUGAAGCUUUUUGGAAUUGUGAAUGGUACCGAAUGCCGCCAAAGACUGUUGUUAAUGUCAUGUUCUGUAUUCAAAGAUCUCAACGACCACUUACGCUGAAAAUUGGAAAAUUUGCACACUUUGGCCACAAUAUGCUGACAGUUGUUACCAAAACAGCCAUGGGUUACUUAAGUAUUUUACGUAACUUUUUAGUAAUUGAGUAAUGUGUUAAAAAUAUUUUUUCUAGGAAGCGACAUGAUAGCCGAGCGGACUAAGUUAUUAUCCCGUUAGUUCGUUCGUGCAUCAUGUCGUGAGGCGAGGGUUCGAGCCCCGACGGUUGUUCGAAUAGUUCCAACACCAACCGUCGGAGAUCGCUCCGGUAGCC